CUUGUCCUUCCGAUUCAAAAACAGAAGCAAAUCAAAGAGACGAACUCACAGUAAUUCAUAUAUGAUUCGUCCUCGAACCCUACUGUUUUACUCAUCAUCAAUCUCUCACAUUUCACACAGAUGGGUUUCUUCCACAACACAACUCCAUGCUUCAUGGAUCAACAAGAUUAAAGGUGUAUUCACCGGCCAAAAAACCUCCACCGAUGCCGCCAAAGUACCCAUUUCCGAGUCAUUCACUCUCCUUCGAUUUGCGGAUGAAUUGGGCAGAGCAAAGAAGUUGGGGACUCUGAAGCAGUAUGUUGUGGGGAGAGGUAGUGAAGUUACAUUUGCUGAAGCUUUUGAGAAGCAGCAAGCUAUUCUUCAAUAUCUUGGUGCAUUGGAUCCCACUGGAGAGAAUCUUCAAACACAUCAAAAGCAACAGGCAGCAAAACAUUGCAAGUGCACAAUAGUUGAUGUCGAGAAUAUGUUGGCAAAGUUUACUUGGGCAAAAGAAGCACAAAUGAAACUUGAGAAGAUGAAGGAAGAAGGGAAGCCAUUGCCAAAGAGCAUGGCUGAGGUUCAAAAGUUGAUGGGUUCAUCCCCGCUGGAUGUUGCACGAUCAAACAUGGCUAAGAGUGGGCAAAUUAGUAGGAAUGCAUUCUGUCCUUGUGGUUCCAAGAAGAGAUACAAAAGGUGUUGCGGAAAGGAUUCAACGUUUUAAAAGG
rnacentral:misc_RNA from 1 species